rnacentral:tmRNA from 1 species
GGGGCUGACCGGUUUUGACAGCGGGUAGAAGUGGUUUGUAAGCAUGCAGUGCGUCGUUGGCCGGCACUAUAAUCCCGGUUGAUAAAAAUUUAACUGGCGAAAACAAUUAUGCUCUCGCUGCUUGAUCGAAGUAUAGUAGAUUAAAGCUUUAUCCUUACACCAGGUGUUUGGACGAGACGUCACCCGGAGCUGUGGCUUCGAAGCAUUCCGAUCCGGUGGCGCAGAUAUAUCGGAGAUAGUCUGACGGAAGUUCCGCACGGCAGAUGAAAAUAAGGAACUAAGGUUGCAGUUGGUGGCUUCGGUCUUGCCGCAACACGAAAACCAAGGCGAAGAUAAGCAUGUAGAAAGCAAAUUAAUUCCUCGUUUGGACGAGAGUUCGAAUCUCUCCAGCUCCACAU